UCAAGGACUUUGCAAUUUAAUACAUUAGGAACUUUAAAAAAGAAACUUAAUUAGGUAGAAAUUGGUUUCACAUAACAAAAUUUGGGUCAAGGGAAGCUGAGGAUGUUUCUUUUCUGACCAUGUUUCUGAAGUGUACCAAAGCAUCGUGCCCUGAACAUUUCAUAGGCAUUAUUUUAACCCAAUCCUUCAAUCUUAUAGCACAAGACUUUUAUUAUUAAAUGAAAGUACUGAGUUGUGUUUUUUUUUUUUUUUUUUUUGGAUGCUUGAACUGGGAUAUUUUAAAGGAGACUUGUUUCAGAAAGUGGAUUCUGAUGUAGUUGUCACACUCUUUAACAUGGAAGAAAAAUAGCUGAAUCCAUGGAAACAGAUGUCAGCCAGCUAAAACAACAGAAAACUCUAUGGAAGAAGGACAAAGCAAUGUGAGAGUACACAGCAGCCAGCUUCUCCCAACUUUUCAUGUCAGCAUCUGUUUUCUUGAGGGUCUUGAGAUGACGAUGGUAGUGGAAGUAUGAGCAUGCUUCACAUCUGGAGACCAGAGUGGGGAUGAUGACUGCUUUGAUGACGGCUCUGGAAAGACACCCGGAUCUUGGUGUCUUUCCAGAGAUUCUGGUUAAUAAAGACAUCCUACAGCAAUUUCCUGAAGGAGGCACUUGCACACUGGAUCCUGUGCUGAAUCUCCUCAUCAAUGUUCACUCUGAGUGAGAUGGCUCCCGAGAAGAAAGAACCAGGAUGACUGUCAGAAGAAUGGAGAACAGAGUUGGGGUGAUGAUACAUCUUUGCUUUGCCUCAGCUCAGAUGACAAAUGGGUCUGUCUCUGAUCCUUGGAAUAAUUGCAGUCAUCUGGUCAUGGAGGAGCCAGUUUACAUGCCCAGAGAUACUGAAGGUAUAGGUUUUGCUGGAUUUGAAACUUUAAAAAUGUGUUCCUAUGUGUUUUUCUGGCACUUUAUAGUUUUACAAAAAUGUUAAAAUAAACAACAAUUUAGAAGUAAAAAUUGAACCAUGGAAAAACUUCUGGUUUUAGUUCUUUUUAUAAUUGAAACACAGGACCAGAACUGCUUAUAAUAUUGGUAUGAAAUUCAUCCUUUCUUUUGAGUCUGAUUGCUUUGUGAAACUGUGAUUAAUUGAUGCCAUUCAGGGAGACAAAGUUUCUUGCUCCAAGCUGUUCAUUUUGCUAGAAGCUGUCAGACAGUGACCUAAAAUAAUAUUUAUUUACAAACCUGUAGAAAGAAGACAAGUGGUGUUCAUCAAAUAUUCUGUCAUUCCAAAAUGGUGAUACCCUAUGCUUACCAGCUAGGAGUCAAGGAGAUUACACUGUCUCUCCUCCUAGACUUUCUAGACUUGCUCCUCAGCUGCUAUACAUUUGGCAAACUUCUGUUGACUUCAUUACACAAACAGAUAUUUUCUGAGGUCAUCUGUGUCUACUUUAACUUCUCCAGUUUUGUGCUUUGUUUUCUUCUUAUCACUGUAGCGGUAGUAUUGAAUUGGCAGAAACCCAGUCAGCUAUGUUCAGGUUAUUAAUGUGGAUGGUGGUCAGCCAGCAUAUAUUUGAUAGUAAGCAACUGGGUCAGUAAUCCAUAAUUCAUUGAUACCGACAGACACGGGCCAUUAGGGGAUUGUAAAUAUAAUGCUGGCAUAACCUUAAUUAUAGUCAAGAUCAGCAGCACUGCCAGAGUUAAGUAUGAGUUGAAGUAUCCUUUAUAAAAUCUGUUUUUCAGUGGUUUAUAGGAUUCAGUUAUGGUAAUUUGCAUUCAGAUAAACCUGGCAUAAAAUUGUCAGCUCAAAUGCAGAUUUCUUUCUAAAAAUGGUUCAAAUAAGUGUCUGGCACAUAGCAAUCAGCUAAACCAUCAUUAUAUAGAGGAAGAUUUAUGUGGCCAGCGAUAGUUAAAUUAAAAAUAAAUUUUACAUGCUCACAAUUUGCAAGCAAUUAUCAUUGAUUGACUUAUCUUUGUGUAUUUAGAAUAAAUAUUCUGUAAAGAUGUCUGCUUCUGAUCUUAUAAUACACCAGCUACAAAAAAAAAAUCCAGUCCAAUUAACUGUGUUACAGCGCUGGAAUAUGGUUCAAGUUAAGUGAGAAUCCAGCCUCAUGUUUUUGUACCUUUAAAAAACAGCUACUAUGUCUAAUAGGUGUAGUGCUAAUAUAGAUGGUAUUAUUCUUAACUUUCAGUGUUCACUUUCCAGAGUGCUGCUGCUUGUAAAGUUUGUAUUCCCAAAUGUUCUCAAGAAGCAAAUACAAACAAAUCAGGAAAAGAUCUGUAGCUAAAUGAUUUAAAAAUGUGUCUUAUAUAAAGGUCUCUCUCUUCCCCCUUCCCAGUAAUGUAAGGCCUAGUCAGAGUUGAGUGCUUGUAUUUCUUGGAAUGGUCCUUGUCCAAUCACAUAACUUCAUCAUUAUGAAGGGUGUCCUUCCUACACUUCAUUUAGAGUUUCUCCCCUCCCCCAAUAUGGCAAAAUGAGAAGCUGCAGCGAGAGGUCACUAGCCAAUCAACAUAGUGAACUGAUUGUCUAACCUAAGUAAUUACUGCAGUCGCCACAGGUAAUAACUUUUUGCUCCUAGUGACAGAUCUGCACGGCCCUAUGGUAACCAAGGUCAUCUAAACAGCUUAGCUUGUAGUUUAAUAUUGCAUCACAGAAUAGAAAAACUUGCUUUAUCAAGUAGAUUCUAGUUAAAAGCUUA